rnacentral:rRNA from 1 species
GAUGAACGCUGGCGGCGUGCCUAACACAUGCAAGUCGAACGAAGCUUGACGGAUGAUUUCUUCGGAAUGAAACCAGAUAUGACUUAGUGGCGGACGGGUGAGUAACACGUGAGCAACCUGCCUUUCAGAGGGGGAUAACGGCUGGAAACGGUCGCUAAUACCGCAUGAUGUGUUCGGAUGGCAUCAUCUGAACAUCAAAGAUUUAUCGCUGAAAGAUGGGCUCGCGUCUGAUUAGAUAGUUGGUGGGGUAACGGCCUACCAAGUCUACGAUCAGUAGCCGGACUGAGAGGUUGAACGGCCACAUUGGGACUGAGAUACGGCCCAGACUCCUACGGAGGCAGCAGUGGGGAAUAUUGCACAAUGGGGGAAACCCUGAUGCAGCAACGCCGCGUGAAGGACGACGGUUUUCGGAUUGUAAACUUCUUUUCUUAGUGACGAAGACAGUGACGGUAGCUAAGGAAUAAGCAUCGGCUAACUACGUG